rnacentral:pre_miRNA from 1 species
CAACUACUCCCUCCAUUCAAAAAUACUUGUCCGAGAAAUGUAUGUAUCUAGAUGUAUUUUAGUUUUAGAUACAUCCAUUUCUAUCAUUUUUGCGACAAGUAAUUCCGGACGGAGGGAGUAUAUA